rnacentral:rRNA from 1 species
UACGUAGGGUGCAAGCGUUUGUCCGGAAUUAUUGGGCGUAAAGAGCUCGUAGGCGGUUCGUCGCGUCGAAUGUGAAAACCCGGGGCUCAACCCCGGGCCUGCAUUCGAUACGGGCAGACUAGAGUUCGGUAGGGGAGUCUGGAAUUCCUGGUGUAGCGGUGAAAUGCGCAGAUAUCAGGAGGAACACCGGUGGCGAAGGCGGGACUCUGGGCCGAUACUGACGCUGAGGAGCGAAAGCGUGGGGAGCAAACAGG